UACGUAGGUGGCAAGCGUUGUCCGGAUUUACUGGGCGUAAAGAGCGCGCAGGCGGUCGUUCAAGUCGAGUGUGAAAGCCCCCGGCUCAACUGGGGAGGGUCACUCGAUACUGAUCGACUCGAAGGCAGAAGAGGGAAGCGGAAUUCCCGGUGUAGUGGUGAAAUGCGUAGAUAUCGGGAGGAACACCAGUGGCGAAGGCGACUACCUGGCCUGUCCUUGACGCUGAGGCGCGAAAGCUAGGGGAGCAAACGGG
rnacentral:rRNA from 1 species